rnacentral:rRNA from 1 species
GAUGAACGCCGGCGGUGUGCCUAAUACAUGCAAGUCGAACGCGUUGGCCCAACUGAUUGAACGUGCUUGCACGGACUUGACGUUGGUUUACCAGCGAGUGGCGGACGGGUGAGUAACACGUAGGUAACCUGCCCCAAAGCGGGGGAUAACAUUUGGAAACAGAUGCUAAUACCGCAUAACAAUUUGAAUCGCAUGAUUCAAAUUUAAAAGAUGGUUUCGGCUAUCACUUUGGGAUGGACCUGCGGCGCAUUAGCUUGUUGGUAGGGUAACGGCCUACCAAGGCUGUGAUGCGUAGCCGAGUUGAGAGACUGAUCGGCCACAAUGGAACUGAGACACGGUCCAU